rnacentral:rRNA from 1 species
UACGAAGGGGGCUAGCGUUGCUCGGAAUCACUGGGCGUAAAGCGCACGUAGGCGGAUUCUUAAGUCAGGGGUGAAAUCCCGGAGCUCAACUCCGGAACUGCCUUUGAUACUGAGAGUCUCGAGUUCGGGAGAGGUGAGUGGAACUGUGAGUGUAGAGGUGAAAUUCGUAGAUAUUCGCAAGAACACCAGUGGCGAAGGCGGCUCACUGGCCCGAUACUGACGCUGAGGUGCGAAAGCGUGGGGAGCAAACAGG